UAGCUCAGUAGUAGAGCACUUGCCUAGCAUGCAUGAGGCCCUGGGUUUGAUCCCCAG
rnacentral:tRNA from 1 species